AUUGAACGCUGGCGGCAUGCCUUACACAUGCAAGUCGAACGGCAGCACGGGAGCAAUCCUGGUGGCGAGUGGCGAACGGGUGAGUAAUAUAUCGGAACGUGCCCGGUCGUGGGGGAUAACGUAGCGAAAGCUACGCUAAUACCGCAUACGAUCUACGGAUGAAAGCGGGGGAUCGCAAGACCUCGCGCGAUUGGAGCGGCCGAUAUCAGAUUAGGUAGUUGGUGAGGUAAAGGCUCACCAAGCCGACGAUCUGUAGCUGGUCUGAGAGGACGACCAGCCACACUGGGACUGAGACACGGCCCAGACUCCUACGGGAGGCAGCAGUGGGGAAUUUUGGACAAAUGGGCGCAAGCCUGAUCCAGCAAUGCCGCGUGCAGGAUGAAGG
rnacentral:rRNA from 1 species